AGGUUAAACUCAAAUGAAUUGACGGGGACCCGCACAAGUAGUGGAGCAUGUGGGUUUAAUUCGAAGAUACGCGCAGAACCUUACCAACACUUGACAUGUUCGUCGCGACUAUAAGAGAUUAGAGUUUUCGGUUCGGCCGGACGAAACACAGGUGUUGCAUGGCUGUCGUCAGCUCGUGUCGUGAGAUGUUGGGUUAAGUCCCGCAACGAGCGCAACCCUUACUUUUAGUUGCCAUCAUUUAGUUGGGCACUCUGAAAGAACUGCCAGUGAUAAGCUGGAGGAAGGUGGGGAUGACGUCAAGUCCUCAUGGCCCUUACGUGUUGGGCUACACACGUGCUACAAUGGCAUUUACAAUAGGAAGCAAGAUGGCGACAUCAAGCAAAUCCUAAAAAAAUGCCUCAGUUUGGAUUGUACUCUGCAACUCGAGUACAUGAAGCUGGAAUUACUAGUAAUCGCGGAUCAGCGCGCCGCGGUGAAUACGUCCCCGGGUCUUGUACACACCGCCCGUCACACCAUGGGA
rnacentral:rRNA from 1 species